UCGUAACAAUGGGGGCGCAAGGGCUGUCGCUGACCUUCAAAGGUCGUGCACGCCUGAGCAUCCUCACACAUCCAUCUCACCCCUUUGUGCAUCACCGCGUGGGUCUCCUUUUCACAAAGGAGCUCACGUUUUCACACAAAACUUGAUACAGUGUAGAAUGUUAUCUUUGCGGUCACACGCAAUCAAUA
rnacentral:misc_RNA from 1 species